rnacentral:rRNA from 1 species
GUAGGGAAUAUUGGGCAAUGGUCGGAAGACUGACCCAGCCAUGCCGCGUGCAGGAAGACGGCCCUCUGGGUUGUAAACUGCUUUUAUCUGGGAAGAAAAAGGCCAUGCGUGGCAAAUUGCCGGUACCAGAUGAAUAAGCACCGGCUAACUCCGUGCCAGCAGCCGCGGUAAUACGGAGGGUGCGAGCGUUGUCCGGAUUUAUUGGGUUUAAAGGGUGCGUAGGCGGCUGAUUAAGUCAGCGGUGAAAGACUUCGGCUUAACCGGAGCAGUGCCGUUGAUACUGGUUGGCUUGAGUGUCGGAGGGGUACAUGGAAUUGAUGGUGUAGCGGUGAAAUGCAUAGAUACCAUCAGGAACACCGAUAGCGAAGGCAUUGUACUGGCCGACAACUGACGCUGAUGCACGAAAGUGUGGGGAUCGAACAGGAUUAGAUACCCGUGUAGUCC